AGGGUGCGAGCGUUGUCCGGAAUUACUGGGCGUAAAGAGCUCGUAGGUGGUUUGUCGCGUUGUCCGUGAAGACUCACAGCUUAACUGUGGGCGUGCGGGCGAUACGGGCAGACUGGAGUACUGCAGGGGAGACUGGAAUUCCUGGUGUAGCGGUGGAAUGCGCAGAUAUCAGGAGGAACACCGGUGGCGAAGGCGGGUCUCUGGGCCGAUACUGACGCUGAGGAGCGAAAGCGUGGGGAGCGAACAGG
rnacentral:rRNA from 1 species